UCAGCGGGGCGGGCGGGGCGGGCCCUGUGGUAGCCACGGACGGGGGUCUCCUCCCGGUGCCGAGCCGUCCCAACUCGGCCGGGAAGGGCCACCGCAGCGUCGGUAUCUCUGAGAAGCCGGCCCACCCCCGGGUCCCCUCGCACUAGCCUGGCCUCCGUCCUCGGGUGGUCCUCUCGGCUCGCCCCGCACACUCUGCUCACAACUGGGCUUUAACAUGCAACACACUGUUUCGUGAUCGUGGACUAACUGGGCUUCCCGCUCAGGUCGGAAGCAGGUCAACAGCAGGGACGGGUGUCUAAAUUUUUGCAUCUCCAAAUGUUUGUGAAAAGACUGGGUGAGCCCUGUACGUGGGGCCACCCAGGCGGGACGUGGAGAUGUGAAAUGACUGGAAUUUGCGUAAGGCCGCGCGUAUGAUUUCACAUGUGAUAGUUCACUUGACCCCAACAACGGCUUGCCAAGGCAGGGGUGGUUAUUCCUGUCUUACAGAAGGCCGGAAGGGGUUGCCAAAAGUACAUAGCAAAUAGGUUGGGGUUUUGUCUAGGCUUUCUUGUCCAGGGACUGCUUGUUUAUUUUAUUCAUCCGGGGACCCCAGGUCCCAACAGAAUGCUCGACUCGGAACAAGGGCCCAGUAAGUCUGUUGAGGAAGAGACUAGAGGACAGGAGUUGCUGUGACCAUGGCCUAAAUCCAGUCUAGAGGCUCCUGUCCUUAAAGAGGCAGGCCUCUGUUUCUUCCUCCUCAUUGCCAUCCUUUUAUACAGACUUUUUUUUUAUAUAUACAGCAGGUUCUUAUUAUCUAUUUUAUAGAUAUUAGUGUAUAUAUGUCAAUCCCCAGUAUCCCAAUUCAUCCCACCCACCCACCCACCCCCGCUUUCCCCCCUUGGUGUCCAUAUGUUUGUUCUCUACAUCUGUGUCUAUUUCUGCCUUGCAAAUCAGUUCAUCUGUACCAUUUUUCUAGUUUCCACAUACAUGCAUUAACAUACGAUAUUAGUUUUUCUCUUUCUGACAUUUACGUCACUCUGUAUGAUAGUCUCUAGAUCCAUCCACGUCUCUACAAAUGACCCAAUUUCGUUCCUUUUUAUGGCUGAGUAAUAUUCCAUUGUAUAUAUGUACCACAUCUUCUUUAUCCAUUCCUCUGUUGAUGGGCAUUUGGGUUGCUUCCAUGACCUGGCUAUUGUAAACAGUGCUGCAGUGAACAUUGGGGUAUGUGUGUCUUUUUGAAUUAUGGUUUUCUCAGGGUACAUGCCCAGUAGUGGGAUUGCUGGGUCGUAUGGUAGUUCUGUUUUUAGUUUUUUAAGGAACCUGCAUACUGUUUUCCAUAGUGGCUGUACCAAUUCACAUUCCCAUCAACAGUGCAAGAGGGUUCCCUUUUCUCCACACCCUCUCCAGCAUUUGUUGUUUGUAGAUUUUCUGAUGAUGCCCAUUCUAACUGGUGUGAGGUGAUACCUCAUUGUAGUUUUGAUUUGCAUUUCUCUAAUAAUUAGUGAUGUUGAGCAGCUUUUCAUGUGCUUCUUGGCCAUCUGUAUGUCUUCUUUGGAGAAAUGUCUAUUUAGGUCUUCUGCCCAUUUUUUUUUUAUUGGGUUGUUUGUUUUUUUAAUAUUGAGCUGCAUGAGCUGUUUAUAUAUUUUGGAGAUUAAUCCUUUGUCCGUUGAUUCGUUUGCAAAUAUUUUUUCCCAUUCUGAGAGUUGCCUUUUCGUCUUGUUUGUAGUAUCCUUUGCUUUGCAAAAGAUUUUAAGUUUCAUUAGGUCCCAUUUGUUUAUUUUUGUUUUUAUUUCCAUUACUCUAGGAGGUGGAUCAAAAAAGAUCUUGCUGUGAUUUAUGUCAAAGAGUGUUCUUUCUAUGUUUUCCUCUGAGAGUUUUAUAGUGUCUGGUCUUAAAUUUAGGUCUCUAAUCCAUUUUGAGUUUAUUUUUGUGUAUGGUGUUAGGGAGUGUUCUAAUUUAAUUCUUUUACAUGUAGCUGUCCAAUUUUCCCAGCACCACUUACUGAAGAGACUGUCUUUUCCCCAUUGUAUAUCCUUGCCUCCUUUGUCAUAGCUUAGUUGACUGUAGGUGUGUGGGUUUAUCUCUGGGCUUUCUGUCCUGUUCCAUUGAUCUGUAUUUCUGUUUUUGUGCCAGUACCAUACUGUCUUGAUUACUGUAGCUUUGUAGUAUAGUCUGAAGUCAGGGAGCCUGAUCCCUCCAGCUCCGUUUUUUCCCCUCAAGAUUCCUUUGGCUAUUCUGGGUCUUUUAUGUCUCCAUACAAAUUUUAAGAUUUUUUGUUCGAGUUCUGUAAAAAAAAAAAAAAUGCCAUUGGUGGUUUGAUAGGGAUUGCAUUGAAUCUGUAGGUUGCUUUGGGUAGUAUAGUCAUUUUCACAAUAUUGAUUCUUCUAAUCCAAGAACAUGGUAUAUCUCUCCAUCUGUUUGUGUCUUCUUUGAUUUCUUUCAUCAGUGUCUUAUAGUUUUCUGAGUACAGGUCUUUUAUUUCCUUAGGUAGGUUUAUUCCUGGGUGUUUUAUUCUUUUUGUUGGAAUGGUGAAUGGGAUUGUUUCCUUAAUUUCUCUUUCUGGUCUUUCACUGUUAGUGUAUAGGAGUGCAAGAGAUUUCUGUGCAUUAAUUUUGUAUCCUGCAGCUUUACCAAAUUCAUUGAUGAGCUCUAGUAGUUUUCUGGUGGCAUCUUUAGGAUUCUCUAUGUAUAGUAUCAUGUCAUCUGCAACAGUGACAGUUUUACUUCUUCUUUUCCAAUUUGUAUUCCUUUUAUUUCUUUUUCUUCUCUGAUUGCCGUGGCUAGGACUUCCAAAACUAUGUUGAGUAAUAGCGGCGAGAGUGGACAUCCUUGUCUUGUCCCUGAUCUUAGAGGAAAUACUUUCAGUUUUUCACCAUUGAAAAUGAUGUUUGCUGUGGGUCUGUUGUAUAUGGCCUUUAUGAUGUUGAGGGAAGCCCCCAAUGCAGACUUUUUUAAAACAAUAAAACGUGUGUGCAGUUUAGCAACUGACCUCUUUGCAGCGGGAAUUACUCUUAAGAUGUUGCUAACUCAUUUUACAGAUGUCUUUACGUCAGGGUGUAUCUGUGUGCGUGGGUACGUGUGUGUGUGUUUAUAGUUAAGAGAAACAGGAGGCCACCCUGCAGAGUGACACGCGCUAACUGGCAUUUCCAGGAAGAAGCUGUGGGCGACGACUCCUGGGAUGCUGGUCCCAGGGCUGUAGCUUCCCUUCAGGGCUGUGGUGUGACACAUGAUAUAAGCCCUUUCUACUCCAUCACCCAUCUCAUCCGUCUCUUGGUUUCCCAGAAGGUAGAUGUACCAAAUGUGUAGCUUAACAUAGCGUUAUGUGAGUGUACAGUUUUUAUAUUUUUCUUCAAAUCUGUAAUGUCUUAGCAGUAUUCAAGUUUGGGUUUUGUUUUGUUUUGUUAACGUUCUGUAGUACCUCUGGGUGCCCGCCCAGUAAAGUAGCCUUUAUUGUGUCCGGAACACCCUCAUUCAGGUGAAGAGAACGUCUUGCUUGCUCAAUCCCCCCUCGCCCGGUCCAUCACGUUCCCCAUUUUUAGACUUCCAUCAAUCUCUUUCACAUGAAGAGACCUGUUUCUUGGAGAGUGUCAUGUCAGAGCUACUUGGAACCCCUUUUGGACUCAGAUGUCCUUUGGGGGCCUUUCCUAAAAUGAUGCCUUCACGAGGAACGGCUGCUGGAACUGGGUGAAGCAGCAUCGCUCCACACCCUGGCGCUCCGAGGACAGAGGUGUUCUCUGUCCUUCCUGUGAGGUGGGGGCACAGCGGGAGUCAGACAGCUGCGCUGGGAACCAGAAAGUGUGGGUUCAGCUCAGUGUCUUGUAGCGGCGCCCUGGGCUCCUGCCCAUCUCCUCCCCUCUGAGGAUGACCACGGUGCCAUGAAGAAAGCGCGGUGAUGGCACUGGUGCAGGUCCUCUGCAGCCGCAUCACUGCGCCAAGGCUGUGGCUUAACACAGCGGUCGUUUUGUUUGCUCACGGUUCUUCACUGUGGGCCAGCCCAGCUGGACUGUUGCUGCCUUGCCGUUGAUCACUCGUGUGGCUGCGGUCAGCUGCCGUGGGUUCAGGGCCAGGCUCAGCUGGCGUGGCUGGCGUGGCUGACUCCUCUCUCCACGUCAUCUUGGGACGUCUCCCGUCCCCGCCGGGUAGUCUGACCUCUCACAUGGCGGCUCAGGGCUCCUUGGAGCACAAGGGCAGGAGCUGCCAGGCCUUGCUGAGGCACAGACCUGGACCUAGCAGCCCGCCACAUCCACUGCAACCUGCUGAUUCAGUAAGUGGAGCUCAGUGCGGAGUUGUGGGAGAUGCCACACAAGGAGGCGAAUACCUGGAGGCGUGGUUCUGUAGGGGCCCCCAAGGUGACAGCACACAGGCCCCUGCUUGUCCCACUCACCUCCCAGUCGGGAGACAGCACAUGAGAGCUCCUUGGUGCCCACUCCCCUGGGAGCCAUGAAGGGCGGACCCUCUGCCCCACUGCAGCUGCCGGGGACACGGAAGCUGAAGGGAGAGCUGUCCUUUCCCUCCCCAGUUACCUCUGCCUGGAGCGCCAGCUUCACCACUGUCCUGACCUCAGACCCACUCAGCUGGGCUUCUCCCCACUGGGCUUCUGUUACCCAUGGGGUUCAGCCACAGGAUGCCCCCAUUGUAAGUGACCAUUACCCAGGCCCACGGCACUGCCACCGGGGACUGCUGGAGGGACGGGCAGGCCAGAUGUGCCCCCAGAUUUAUGAACUGUUCCGGGACAGCACGUUCAUCAGCUGAAGGGCCACGGCACUCAGGGUUUCUCCCAGCCCUGCCAGGAGUUGUGCCCUCUCAUGUCGUCUGGCGUCGCUCAUUUAUGGGACUCCUCCCGUAAUCACGUUUCACAGAGAAGUGGAACUUUGCCCAUGAAACCUUUGUCCAGUGACGAAAAACUGAUUAAAAAAAUCCUUCCAUCUUAUUUUCUCAGUUGCUGUUGGAGAUGGUGGGUUCAGGUCCCCUCGGCCUGGUCACCAUCAACUGGAACAGAGGGGUCCUUCCACACCCCCAGGGGUAGAGUGUGUGUCUGUAGGGUCUCACAACCAGGGAUUUAGGGUCCCUUCCCCGCAGCUCGGCCCAGCAGUCGAAGUCACAGUCUAGGGUCAGAGGCUGGCCCUGCCUGGCCGGUGUCACUAUUGUGUUACCUACAGGGAGGGGGAGUGCCUGGGUGUCUUCUGGGCAGGUGCCUGGAGGCCCCUCCACGUGCACUCAAUUCACUUCAUUCUCCUUUCGGCGAUUGUGGGUUUCCCGCCCCCGCCC